CGCCCUUAGAGUUUGAUCAUGGCUCAGGACGAACGCUGGCGGCGUGCCUAAUACAUGCAAGUCGAACGCAGCUUGCUUUGGUAAGAUGAGUGGCGAACGGGUGAGUAACACGUGGGUAACCUGCCUAUCAGAGGGGGAUAACACUUGGAAACAGGUGCUAAUACCGCAUAGAUUUCUUUCGCAUGAAAAGAGAGGAAAGACGUACGUGUCACUGAUAGAUGGACCCGCGGUGCAUUAGCUAGUUGGUGAGGUAACGGCUCACCAAGGCCAUGAUGCAUAGCCGACCUGAGAGGGUGAUCGGCCACACUGGGACUGAGACACGGCCCAGACUCCUACGGGAGGCAGCAGUAGGGAAUCUUCGGCAAUGGACGAAAGUCUGACCGAGCAACGCCGCGUGAGUGAAGAAGGUUUUCGGAUCGUAAAACUCUGUUGUUAGAGAAGAAUAGGUAGGAGUGACUUCCUGCCAUGACGGUAUCUAACCAGAAAGCCACGGCUAACUACGUGCCAGCAGCCGCGGUAAUACGUAGUGGCAAGCGUUGUCCGGAUUUAUUGGGCGUAAGCGAGCGCAGGCGGUUUCUUAAGUCUGAUGUGAAAGCCCCCGGCUUAACCGGGGAGGGUCAUUGGAAACUGGGAGACUUGAGUGCA
rnacentral:rRNA from 1 species